CGUGAAGGCUCUUCCGCUGUGAGCCUGCUUCUUCCUCUCCCACUCCCCCUGCUUGUGUUCCCUCUCUCGCUGGCUGUCUUUCUGUCGAAUAAAUAAAUGAAAUCUUAAAAAAAAAAAAAAACACAAAACAAAUCAAUAGCUGAGAAGGAAUGCUUGCUGUAACUUUCUGUUUGUCGCCUCCUAACAUUGCGUGUGUGUGCUCUCUUUCUCUCUCUCUCUCUCAAAGCCUGGGAUUUCUCCAGUGAUCAUGUGGGUAAAAUCAAGUUGUAUUUCAUUUUUCAGAAUAGACCCAGAAUCUGGUUGUGAUUCAAGAUGGAGGCCCUGGUCCUUGGGAGAGCUGGUGGGAGCUAGGCAGGUGUUACCUUUAGACCUGCAGUGUCAGGCAAAUGAUAGUGGAACUGGGAACAGGUGGGGCCUGUUUACCUUAACCACGUGAAGGCCAGUUAUCAGAACAGGGGCCCAAACAAAGUCAGAACCAGUCAGAGGAAUCCCAGGAUAUAAGGACAAGCUCAGGGUAGCUGGCACGGUGGUUCCCCUGAACUUGGGCUUUGAAUCACCUCAGAGAAUGUAUGUCUUCUUUCCCACACAUUCAACUUCAAAGUGAAGGCUUUCAGAAAGAUAACAGUCUCUCCUCAAAAUCAGAGAAGACCUAGGUAUCACCAGGCCGUUUCUGAAGUAGGCAAGAGGAGAACCACAUGUUCCAAUUCUAAUGGGACUUUGCUAAAGGGUCAGGAAAGCCGAACAGUAAAAGGUGGAUGAGACGAUGUGCUUUAAGAUGCUGGACCCAGCCUGGGCUGCCCAGAUUACUUUCUCUGCGUGUGUGGAGUGGGCCAGGCUGGAGGCCUGCAUGUUUCCAGAUUCUUGACCCAGCUGUAUAUGGAAGCCUGAGAUCUUCCAAACAUGAAGCAGAAGGUCAAAGGAGCUCUCGCCCUACCAGACCUGCUUACAUUUCCCUGAAAACAUUGCUGUAGCAAUCCAAGGCCAACCGAUCCAUCAAGCAAAUAGCCAUGAGCAUCUGCUGUAUUCAAGACAGUUCGGUCAAGGGAGUAAAGACAAAGACAAGCUCCUUGAUCAUGAAGUAUUUAUCCUCAACUAAGAGCAGUAAGUUGAUACAUACAAACGUUACCUAGAUGUGUUAAGUUCUUCUUCUAGGUUUUAUNAUUUUAGUGCUAUUUCUGUCAAGAGUCCAUGUUGCUAUUUAUGUAUGUAUUCUUUCCUUCCUUCCUUCCUUCACUCAGCAAAUAGCCAUGAGCAUCUGCUGUAUUCAAGACAGUUCGGUCAAGGGAGUAAAGACAAAGACAAGCUCCUUGAUCAUGAAGUAUUUAUCCUCAACUAAGAGCAGUAAGUUGAUACAUACAAACGUUACCUAGAUGUGUUAAGUUCUUCUUCUAGGUUUUAUAUUCUUUUUUUUUUUAAGAUUUAUUUAUUUAUUUGAGAGGGAGGGGCUAGGGAGGGAGAGAAUCUCAGGCAGACUCCCUGCUGAGUACAGAGCCUGAUGCAGGUCUCAAUCUCAUGACCCUGAGAUCAUGACCUGAGCCAAAAUUAAGAGUUGGAAGCCUAACCGACUGAGUCCCUCAAGGAUUCAUAUUCUUACCAACAGUGUGAUUCCUCAUCCCAUUUGACCACGUGAAGUCCCAUGGUUUAGCAGGUCCCCCUCCCAAAUGCUUGUUCCUCUGGGAAACUUCCAAGUAAAGCACACAUAUCCCCAAAUCUCACUCCAGCUGUAGUUGUAGACUCGACUCACAACACAAUGCUCUAUUCUCUC
ensembl:lncRNA